GAGGGGGCUGCGGGCGCGCGGCGGAUGUCACGGCUUACCUCAGAGCCCGAAUUAGAAGGCUGAAAAAAUCACAGCAGGAAAUAAUGUGCUGCCUAAAAUAGAAGCAUCAACUGGGAGAGCGGCCGGGAGUAGGUGGCAUCUGAGGCUCCCGCCGCGUCCUCCCCAGCGGCUGCUUGACGCGGCGUCGAAGGCGUCCCCUGAUGACCAGGCCCCGCGCCUCUGCUGGGGUCGGCCCUACACAGUAAGCUGCCUGGGAGCCCUCAUUGCCUUCCUGGGCAACCCAGCUAUAGGCCCCCCAGCAGCUGCAGUCCGGGAGAUGACAAAACUGAGACAAAAGAUGAAUCAGCUUGGCAGUGUUCACAGAGCCAGCCUGUGGAAAAGCCAGAAUCCAGAGUCCAGACCCAGGCCCUGUCUGCGGCGUCCCGGCUCUUACUGACACCUAAACAGCCAUGGCCUCUUAUUAGCUUAGGGCUCUUCCUUCUAAAAAUUCCCAGUGCGGUGCAUCCUCACUGCUGUCUGGAAGGGAACGAGCAUUCGUGCGUGCUCCUGGGCCUUGCCCACACACAUAUGUGCUGCGCUCCUUCCCUCCUGCCUCCUGCCUCCUGCCUCUGUGUUGCCCUGGGGCUGACAGCUUCUGGUUUGCCAAACAGAAUCGUAAGGAGAGGUGUGUGGCUGAUGUGGCAUCCGGCAGGCUUGGUUCCCUGGAGACUACUUGUUACUGGGAUAAGCAGUAAGAAGCAGUGGCUGAGAUUGUGAGUAGGGGAGUAGAGGCCUCCACAGACUAGAAGAAAUGUCAGAAUAAAAUAAUAGUGUAGCUAGUGUUCAUGAAUACUUACUAAAUGCAAGGCUUUGUGCUAAGUA